AUGCAAAUGAGGGGCGUGACCACGCCCACUCCCCUCAGGCCGUGGGCGUGGCCUCGCUAUGCUAAUCGCCCUCAUUCCCACGCAGACCCCGCCCGCUCCCCGGACGUUUUCCCGCUCUGCUCCUGCGAGGACUACGAGGACCAGGUGACCUUCGGCUGCUUCGCCGCCGGCUUCUUCCCGCAGCCGGCGCAGAUCUCCUGGGAGGGGGCGGCCUCCGAGCACAGCCGGGACUUCCCGGAACUUCCGGUGGGCGUGGCCCAGUUCGGGCGGGGCUCCCGCGUCACCCUGGCCGCCGACCAGGCCAAGGGCCAAAAGCAUUUUGGCUCCAAUUUCCGCCAUUUUGGAUCCGAUUUCAACUCUAUUGGCUCCAAUUUCCGCCAUUUUGAAUCGGCCAUUUUGGAUCCAUUUUUGGCCAUCUUGGCUCCAAUUUCUGCCAUUUUUGAUCCAAUUUCAGCCAUUUUGGCUCCAAUUUCCGCCAUCUUUGANGCCAUUUUGGAUCCAUUUUUGGCCAUCUUGGCUCCAAUUUCUGCCAUUUUUGAUCCAAUUUCAGCCAUUUUGGCUCCAAUUUCCGCCAUCUUUGAUCCGAUUUCAACUCUAUUGGCUCCAAUUUCCGCCAUUUUGGAUCAGCCUUUUUGUCUCCAUUUUCGGCCAUCUUUAAUCCGCCUUUCGGCCAUCUUGCCUCGAUUUCCGCUGGGAUUUCGCCCUUUUUUCCCCCAUUUUCCGUCGUUUUGGGGAUUUUUUUGGCCUCACCUGCCCCCACCUCUCCCCGCAGCCUGCAACAACACCCCCCAGCCCCCCGACUUCACCGUCUCCCUCCUGAGCGACCCCAACCAGGCCCACCCGGAGCAGGACCAGGUCCACCUCCUGUGCCAAGUGCGCGGCCGCGGCGCCGCCGACGCCACCCUCAGCUGGUUGGUCAACGGUGACCCCGCCCAGCUGGGGGCGGAGCUUUCCAGCUGCCAGGAGGGCGGCGACGGUCAGGUGACCCUCAGCGGCCGCGUCAACAUCAGCCGCAGCCAAUGGGACAAAGGGAGCAACUUCACCUGCCGGGCAAGCCACGCCCACCUGGCCACGCCCAUCGAGGCCAGCAUCAGCACGUUCUGUAAAGCCGCCGCCGCCCAGCCCUCGGUGCGGGUGCUGCCGCCGUCCCUGCAGGACCUGUUCCUGUCCACCAGCCCCAACCUCACCUGCGUGGCGUCCGGCCUGGAGUCGCCGGCCGUGGAGUUCACCUGGAGCCGCGCGCCGGGCGGGGCGCUGGGCGCGGCCACUUCCGGCCCCGCCCGGCCCCUCCCCGGCGGCCGCUUCGAGGUCCGGAACUUUCUGGAAAUCUGCGCCGAGGAUUGGAAUUCCGGCGCCGCCUUCACCUGCCGGGUGAGCGGCAAAGGGCUGGGCGAGGAGGCGAUGGAGGCCAGCGUCAGGAAGGAGAGCGGCGGCGCCACGGCGGCGCCGAGCGUCUUCGUCUUCCCGCCGCCGCCCGAGGAGCUGGCCCGGGGCGAGGCGGCCACCUUGACCUGCCUGGCGGCCAACUUCGCGCCGCGCGACGUCCUCCUCACCUGGACGCAGGGGGACGCGCCGGUGGAGCCGGCGAGGUUCUCCACCUUCGGGCCGCAGCCGGACGCCGGCGGCGCCGGGACCUUCUCGGUCUACUCCAAGCUGGAGGUGCCGGCGGCCGAGUGGCGGCGCGGCGACGUCUUCGGCUGCGUGGUGGGACACGAGGCCGUGGGCGGCGUGAAGUUCGUGCAGAGGAACCUGGACAGGUCCACGGCGCGGCCGGCCAACGUCAACGUCUCCGUGGUGCUGGCCGACAGCGACGCCGUGUGCUACUGAGCCGCUUUUGGGGCGAAUAAAGGAGAUUUUGAGAAGUUAAAA